rnacentral:misc_RNA from 1 species
GGCAAUGGCACCAGCCUCAGUAAGAAGGGGUAUCAACUGACCUCUGCGGUGUUUCUCAGUAACCGCAUCGCAACCACCGAUGUGCUUUUCUCCUAUAAACACAUUAGGCACCGUGGUUUGGCCCGUCCACUCCGCUAAAGCUGACUGAAUUUUAUCUCCAUCACUUUUUUGGUUCAAUUCAAUGACCUUAUACCUAGCUCCAAGCCGUGUGAGCAGUUCCUUGACACUCGAGCAAUACCCACAAUAAGUCUUACUGAAAACAACAACAGGGUCAGAGGAGAUUAUCUUCUUGGCUUCGUUAAGCGCUAAUUCAAGCUCUUCUUUACUCAAUUUGUUUGAGCUGAACCACGACCCCAUGACCUCGCUUAAUA